UCACAUUGAUAUUUUGAGACUUUUUUUACAAAAUAACCAUAUAAAAUUUUAUAAUUUGCGAAAUAAUCCUAUCAAAUUUGUAUUUGGCAAAUUAACUCUCGAAACACAGUGAAUUAUUCACCGCAUUCUAAAAUUUUUUAAAGUCUUUUAAAGGCGGUGAAUCAUUCACCGUCUUCUUCAUAAUUUUUAAAAGACGGUGAAUCAUUCACCGUCUUUUUCAUAAUUUUUUGGGAAAGAAAAAAAAAAGAGGUUGUUAAAAUUAUACGUAGAUUAUACGAGAAAUUAUAUUGAUAUUUUAUUAGGAUUUUCAAAUUGUUAAGAUUAUAUGUAAUAUUUGAUUAUUACGAUUAUAUGGAUAGAUUAUUAGUAUUUUUUUGAUUGUUAGGAUUGUAUGGAUAGAUUAUUCGAAUUUUCAGGUUGUUAAAAUUAUAUGUAAUUUGUUGAAAUAUUUAUGUGGUUAUUAGGAUUAUAGAAAAAAAUAAUAAACAAGUGAAAGGCGGUGAAUGAUUCACCGCUUUUUUGAGAAAUUAGAAAAGCGGUGAAGGCAGUGAACCAUUCACCGUUUUUAAGAGAUUAGUUUUUUAAAUAUAAUUUUAGCAAAAUUAUUUUGGAAAAUAAUAAAAUUUUAAAAGAUUAUUUUAUAAAAAAUCCAUAUUUUGAUGCUUAAAUUUUAAUUUAUUAU
rnacentral:lncRNA from 1 species